CCAAUAGCGUAUAUUAAAGUUGUUGCAGUUAAAAAGCUCGUAGUUGAAUUUCGGGAUCAAUUUGUCGGUCGUGCCUCGGUACGUACUGGCAUUAUUGGUUUCUCCCUUCUGACGAACCACGAUGUCAUUAAUUUGGUGUCGCGGGAAAUCAGGACUGUUACUUUGAAAAAAUUAGAGUGUUUAAAGUAAGCUCACGCUUGAAUACAUUUGCAUGGAAUAAUGAAAUAGGACGUUUGAUUCUUUUUUGUUGGUUUCUAGGAUCGACGUAAUGAUUAAUAGGGAUAGUUGGGGGCAUUAGUAUUCAAUUGUCAGAGGUGAAAUUCUUGGAUUUAUUGAAGACUAACUACUGCGAAAGCAUUUGCCAAGGAUGUUUUCAUUAAUCAGUGAACGAAAGUUAGGGGAUCGAAGACGAUCAGAUACCGUCGUAGUCUUAACCAUAAACUAUGCCGACUAGGGAUCGGAUGAUGUUAAUUUUUUAAUGACUCAUUCGGCGCCUUACG
rnacentral:misc_RNA from 1 species